UACGUAGGGUGCGAGCGUUAAUCGGAAUUACUGGGCGUAAAGCGUGCGCAGGCGGUGAUGUAGGACCGAUGUGAAAUCCCCGGGCUUAACCUGGGAACUGCAUUGGUGACUGCAUCGCUCGAGUAUGGCAGAGGGGGGUAGAAUUCCACGUGUAGCAGUGAAAUGCGUAGAGAUGUGGAGGAAUACCGAUGGCGAAGGCAGCCCCCUGGGUCAAUACUGACGCUCAUGCACGAAAGCGUGGGGAGCAAACAGG
rnacentral:rRNA from 1 species